GAUGAACGCUGGCGGUCUGCUUAACACAUGCAAGUCGAACGGAGUGGCGGACGGGUGAGUAACGCGUGAGAAUCUGCCUUCUGGUCGGGGACAACCAUUGGAAACGAUGGCUAAUACCGGAUGCCAGAAGAGGAGCUCGCGUCUGAUUAGCUAGUUGGUGGGGUAAAAGCUCACCAAGGCAUCGAUCAGUAGCUGGUCUGAGAGGAUGACCAGCCACACUGGGACUGAGACACGGCCCAGACUCCUACGGGAGGCAGCAGUGGGGAAUUUUCCGCAAUGGGCGAAAGCCUGACGGAGCAAGACCGCGUGAGGGAGGAAGGCUCUUGGGUUGUAAACCUCUUUUCUUGGGGAAGCGGUACCCAAGGAAUCAGCAUCGGCUAACUCCGUGCCAGCAGCCGCGGUAAUACGGAGGAUGCAAGCGUUAUCCGGAAUUAUUGGGCGUAAAGCGUCCGCAGGUGGCACUUCAAGUCUGCUGUCAAAGGUCGGGGCUUAACCCCGGAAAGGCAGUGGAAACUGAAGCGCUAGAGUGUCGUAGGGGUAGAGGGAAUUCCCGGUGUAGCGGUGAAAUGCGUAGAGAUCGGGAAGAACAUCGGUGGCGAAAGCGCUCUACUGGACGACAACUGACACUCAGGGACGAAAGCUAGGGGAGCGAAUGGGAUUAGAUACCCCAGUAGUCCUAGCCGUAAACGAUGGAUACUAGGUGUGGCUCCGUGCCGUAGCUAACGCGUUAAGUAUCCCGCCUGGGGAGUACGCGCGCAAGCGUGAAACUCAAAGGAAUUGACGGGGGCCCGCACAAGCGGUGGAGUAUGUGGUUUAAUUCGAUGCAACGCGAAGAACCUUACCAGGGCUUGACAUGCAGGUGGUGCAUGGCUGUCGUCAGCUCGUGUCGUGAGAUGUUGGGUUAAGUCCCGCAACGAGCGCAACCCUCGUCUUUAGUUGCCACUCUAGAGAGACUGCCGGUGACAAACCGGAGGAAGGUGGGGAUGACGUCAAGUCAGCAUGCCCCUUACGUCCUGGGCUACACACGUACUACAGUGCUGUGGACAAAGGGCAGCCAACCAGCGAUGGUGCGCUAAUCCCAGAAACCACGGCUCAGUUCAGAUCGCAGGCUGCAACUCGCCUGCGUGAAGGAGGAAUCGCUAGUAAUUGCAGGUCAGAUACUGCAGUGAAUCCGUUCCCGGGCCUUGCAAGCACCGCCCGUCA
rnacentral:rRNA from 1 species